GUAUUUUCAACGUGUAAUUGGUUUAUCUGGAUAUAGCAUCAUCAUAAGUUCAGGAGCAUCUGUAUCGGUUUAGAGGGCGAAAAAUAAGCAAACACUAAAGCAGCACUAGGAAAUGUGGAAGAGUGAUACCAGCUGAAGCAAAACAUUUCUGAAUGAUAUAAAGCAGAUAGGAUUUGUUUGAUGAAAUAACCAAAUAGAACUGGUAGGUACAGUUAAUACAAAUGAAAGAGAGUAGCAGUGGAAGAAGAAAGGAGUUUGUUCAAUUUUAAACAGAACUUUGAAAAGUUUGGAGAUUUUUGGAAAAGCCCGGGGAUCGUAAUUAUGAAGAGAAUUCAUAGGUUGAAGCUCCAAAUCCCAAUGGGAUAAUAUUAUGAGAUGGGGCCUCUGGUGGUAAUUAGGUUAUGAAGGUGGAAUCC